AAAUGACAUGCUGUUUUACUCUGUUUGUCAUGUCAAGGGCUCAGUGAGGCUGAAAGAUUCAUUCCUUCCAACUGGUUCUGUGAGUUUUGACAUUUUGACGCAAUCAGGGUCGGAAAUCCAACCAAAUACAUCAAAAAGGCUGACACUUGACAGAUAUAGAAAAGCUGUCAGUUUUUUGCGAGCAGGGAAAUAUAAUGAUCAAUGAACAUAGGGAAAUCUUGCAACUGGCUCAAAGUCAGACUUUCAUUCAACUGACAGCAAAGACAGCCAGCUAACCUUCUCAUGAACAAAAAAACAAACUGAACAAGGAAUCCUCAGCCUCGUUAAAUAGCCUCCCAUUGAUGAUUGGCAUCAGCUGCGGGAGAACAGCACAGGUGCUCCCAAUAACUGCUGAUUGAAAUCCCAGGACCAUCAAGGACAAACCACAGCUGGCAACAUCACACCUCAACCUGCUGUCGUCUUUUCUCUCCUGCAGCGCCAGACCAAAUGUGUGACUGAAAGAUUAUUCGCUGCUUGCAUCAUGCUGCGAGGCGGAAUGAAAAUCAAUAUCAGUCACUUCAAUUCACUCAGAAAACAAACCAAUGCCUUUCUCACCGAGGGGUUCUGUUCAGCUCUGCAACACAUGGUGUGAAUUAAGCUGUGACUGAAAUGAAAUAAUGCAAGAACUGUCUCAAAAUUCAAGGUGGAAGUACUUUUAGGGUUUGCACAGUAAUGAAGGCGAGAUGCAAAUAUCACCCAGAUGAUCUCCUGGGAGGUGACAAGCUGUUGAUCCUGAAGAGGGCGACAGAGGGCCAGAGUCACUUGGGGAAAUCCUUGAUUGCACAGAGGCGAAUCAGUGUGAGAAAAAUGGAGAACAAGAGAAGUCUGGCAUUGAGGACUAAUGAUCUGUGGUAGUUUUUCUUGGCGAUGGUGUGUGUUCUGUGAAAGAAAAACAAACUUCUCGUGCAUAUUUGUGAAGAAAGAAAAAUUGUCCUUUGCUCUAACUGCACCAGUCUGAAUGUUGACAUGGCUGCUGCCGCUCUGGCCCCAAAAGCCACAUCAGAUGAUUUGUGAGGGCCCCAUGAGACGGGGGCCAGCAGCAUGUAAUGGAGCAACUGGACUGGGCUGACAGAUUUCUCAGCUUGGAGAGUUGUUGCGUGUUGCAGAGACCUGCUGGUGAUUCAGAUUGGGCGUUUCAAAAAUGCUAAAUGUUUUCCUUGCCGUGUGGAGAUGGAAACUGCCUUGUGGUCUUUGUCUUCAUGGCCUUGUAAUAAAUGUGAACUAACAAAAAUUAAA